ACUUUUAAAGGAAAAUAGCUAUCCAA
rnacentral:tRNA from 1 species